AUUGAACGCUGGCGGCAGGCCUAACACAUGCAAGUCGAGCGGCAGCGGGAAAGUAGCUUGCUACUUUUGCCGGCGAGCGGCGGACGGGUGAGUAAUGCCUGGGGAUCUGCCCAGUCGAGGGGGAUAACUACUGGAAACGGUAGCUAAUACCGCAUACGCCCUACGGGGGAAAGCAGGGGACCUUCGGGCCCUGCGCGAUUGGAUGAACCCAGGUGGGAGUAGCUAGUUGGUGAGGUAAUGGCUCACCAAGGCGACCAUCCCUAGCUGGUCUGGGAGGAUGAUCAGCCACACUGGAACUGAGACACGGUCCAGACUCCUACGGGAGGCAGCAGUGGGGAAUAUUGCACAAUGGGGGAAACCCUGAUGCAGCCAUGCCGCGGGUGUGAAGAAGGCCUUCGGGUUGUAAAGCACUUUCAGCGAGGAGGAAAGGUUGGUAGCUAAUAACUGCCAGCUGUGACGUUACUCGCAGAAGAAGCACCGGCUAACUCCGUGCCAGCAGCCGCAGUAA
rnacentral:rRNA from 1 species